UGCAAGUCGAACGGCAGCACGGGUGCUUGCACCUGGUGGCGAGUGGCGAACGGGUGAGUAAUACAUCGGAACAUGUCCUGUAGUGGGGGAUAGCCCGGCGAAAGCCGGAUUAAUACCGCAUACGAUCUACGGAUGAAAGCGGGGGACCUUCGGGCCUCGCGCUAUAGGGUUGGCCGAUGGCUGAUUAGCUAGUUGGUGGGGUAAAGGCCUACCAAGGCGACGAUCAGUAGCUGGUCUGAGAGGACGACCAGCCACACUGGGACUGAGACACGGCCCAGACUCCUACGGGAGGCAGCAGUGGGGAAUUUUGGACAAUGGGCGAAAGCCUGAUCCAGCAAUGCCGCGUGUGUGAAGAAGGCCUUCGGGUUGUAAAGCACUUUUGUCCGGAAAGAAAUCCUUGGCUCUAAUACAGUCGGGGGAUGACGGUACCGGAAGAAUAAGCACCGGCUAACUACGUGCCAGCAGCCGCGGUAAUACGUAGGGUGCAAGCGUUAAUCGGAAUUACUGGGCGUAAAGCGUGCGCAGGCGGUCUGUUAAGACAGAUGUGAAAUCCCCGGGCUCAACCUGGGAACUGCAUUUGUGACUGGCAGGCUAGAGUAUGGCAGAGGGGGGUAGAAUUCCACGUGUAGCAGUGAAAUGCGUAGAGAUGUGGAGGAAUACCGAUGGCGAA
rnacentral:rRNA from 1 species